rnacentral:rRNA from 1 species
CUAUGCUUAGCCCUAAACAUAGAUAAUUUUACAACAAAAUAAUUCGCCAGAGGACUACUAGCAAUAGCUUAAAACUCAAAGGACUUGGCGGUGCUUUAUAUCCCUCUAGAGGAGCCUGUUCUAUAAUCGAUAAACCCCGAUAAACCUCACCACCUUUCGCUAAUUCAGUCUAUAUACCGCCAUCUU